rnacentral:rRNA from 1 species
GAUGAACGCUAGCUACAGGCUUAACACAUGCAAGUCGAGGGGCAGCAGGAUCUAGCAAUAGAUUGCUGGCGACCGGCGCACGGGUGAGUAACACGUAUCCAACCUGCCGAUAACUCGGGGAUAGCCUUUCGAAAGAAAGAUUAAUACCCGAUAGUAUAAUCAGACCGCAUGGUUUGAUUAUUAAAGAAUUUCGGUUAUCGAUGGGGAUGCGUUCCAUUAGGCAGUUGGUGAGGUAACGGCUCACCAAACCUUCGAUGGAUAGGGGUUCUGAGAGGAAGGUCCCCCACAUUGGAACUGAGACACGGUCCAAACUCCUACGGGAGGCAGCAGUGAGGAAUAUUGGUCAAUGGACGCGAGUCUGAACCAGCCAAGUAGCGUGAAGGAUGACUGCCCUAUGGGUAGUAAACUUCUUUUAUAUGGGAAUAAAGUUUUCCACGUGUGGAAUUUUGUAUGUACCAUAUGAAUAAGGAUCGGCUAACUCCGUGCCAGCAGCCGCGGUAAUACGGAGGAUCCGAGCGUUAUCCGGAUUUAUUGGGUUUAAAGGGAGCGUAGGUGGACAGUUAAGUCAGUUGUGAAAGUUUGCGGCUCAACCGUAAAAUUGCAGUUGAUACUGGCUGUCUUGAGUACAGUAGAGGUGGGCGGAAUUCGUGGUGUAGCGGUGAAAUGCUUAGAUAUCACGAAGAACUCCGAUUGCGAAGGCAGCUCACUGGACUGCAACUGACACUGAUGCUCGAAAGUGUGGGUAUCAAACAGGAUUAGAUACCCUGGUAGUCCACACAGUAAACGAUGAAUACUCGCUGUUUGCGAUAUACAGUAAGCGGCCAAGCGAAAGCAUUAAGUAUUCCACCUGGGGAGUACGCCGGCAACGGUGAAACUCAAAGGAAUUGACGGGGGCCCGCACAAGCGGAGGAACAUGUGGUUUAAUUCGAUGAUACGCGAGGAACCUUACCCGGGCUUAAAUUGCAUUUGAAUAUAUUGGAAACAGUAUAGCCGUAAGGCAAAUGUGAAGGUGCUGCAUGGUUGUCGUCAGCUCGUGCCGUGAGGUGUCGGCUUAAGUGCCAUAACGAGCGCAACCCUUAUCUUUAGUUACUAACAGGUCAUGCUGAGGACUCUAGAGAGACUGCCGUCGUAAGAUGUGAGGAAGGUGGGGAUGACGUCAAAUCAGCACGGCCCUUACGUCCGGGGCUACACACGUGUUACAAUGGGGGGUACAGAAGGCAGCUACCUGGUGACAGGAUGCUAAUCCCAAAAGCCUCUCUCAGUUCGGAUCGAAGUCUGCAACCCGACUUCGUGAAGCUGGAUUCGCUAGUAAUCGCGCAUCAGCCAUGGCGCGGUGAAUACGUUCCCGGGCCUUGUACACACCGCCCGUCAAGCCAUGAAAGCCGGGGGUACCUGAAGUACGUAACCGCAAGGAGCGUCCUAGGGUAAAACUGGUA